GCCAGGUGUGGUGGCACAUGCCUGUAGUCCCAGCUACUCGGGAGGCUGAGGCUGGAGGAUCGCUUGAGUCCAGGAGAUCUGGGCUGUAGUGCACUAUGCUAAUCAGGUGUCUGCACUAAGUUUGACAUAAAUAUGGUGAUCUCCCGGGAGCGGGGGACCACCAGGUUGCCUAAGGAGGGGUGAACCGGCCCAGGUCGGGAACAGAGCAGGUCAAAACUCCCAUGCUGGUCAGUAGUGGGAUCGCGCCUGUGAGUAGCCACUGCACUCCAGCCUGGGCAACGUAGCAAGACCCCAUCUGU
rnacentral:SRP_RNA from 1 species